rnacentral:rRNA from 1 species
GAUGAACGCUGGCGGCGUGCCUAAUACAUGCAAGUCGAGCGAGCGGCGGACGGGUGAGUAAUGCCUAGGAAUCUGCCUGGUAGUGGGGGAUCACGUCCGGAAACGGGCGCUAAUACCGCAUACCCUCGGAUGUGCCCAGCUGGGAUUAGCUUUUAGGUGGGGUAACGGCUUACCUAGGCGACGAUCCCUAGCUGGUCUGAGAGGAUGACCAGCCACACUGGAACUGAGACACGGUCCAGACUCCUACGGGAGGCAGCAGUGGGGAAUAUUGCACAAUGGGCGCAAGCCUGAUGCAGCCAUGCCGCGUGUAUGAAGAAGGCCUUCGGGUUGUAAAGUACUUUCAGCGGGGAGGCGUUACCCGCAGAAGAAGCACCGGCUAACUCCGUGCCAGCAGCCGCGGUAAUUC